rnacentral:rRNA from 1 species
UACACAUGCAAGUCGAACGAGACCUUCGGGUCUAGUGGCGCACGGGUGCGUAACGCGUGUCUGCCCUUCGGUUCGGAAUAACAGUUAGAAAUGACUGCUAAUACCGGAUGAUGACUUCGGUCCAAAGAUUUAUCGCCGAGGGAUGAGCCCGCGUAGGAUUAGCUAGUUGGUGAGGUAAAGGCUCACCAAGGACGACGAUCCUUAGCUGGUCUGAGAGGAUGAUCAGCCACACUGGGACUGAGACACGGCCCAGACUCCUACGGGAGGCAGCAGUGGGGAAUAUUGGACAAUGGGCGAAAGCCUGAUCCAGCAAUGCCGCGUGAGUGAUGAAGGCCCUAGGGUUGUAAAGCUCUUUUACCCGGGAUGAUAAUGACAGUACCGGGAGAAUAAGCACCGGCUAACUACGUGCCAGCAGACGCGGAUAAUACGUAGGGUGCGAGCGUAAAUCGGAAUAACUGGGCGUAAAGCGUGCGCAGGCGGUAGUGCAAGACAGAUUA